rnacentral:RNase_P_RNA from 1 species
CGAGUAAGUUGAAUGACCGCGGGCAUAAGGCGAAAGCCUGUGCGUGAGGAAAGUCCGGGCUCCAUAGGGCAAGGAUAGCGGGUAACGCCCGCCGAAGGCGACUUUAGGACAAGUGCAACAGAAAUAUACCGCCGUGUCUUCCAUCUCUCAAUCGCAUCAAAGCCAGCUUUGAUGCGAAGAGGAUGAGCCACGAAGCGGCGAAGGUCGGUCACUUGUGACUGGCCUUCGCUGAGCGUAGUGCGCGACGACGAGGUAAGGGUGGAAAGGUGAGGUAAGAGCUCACCCAACGGCGUGGAAGCGUCCGUUGCUGUAAACUCUAUCCGGAGCAACACCGUGGAAGGACAAUAGGCUGACCCGGCCGUCCUUGGGAGGUGGCUUGAGCGUAUUGGCAACGAUACGCCUAGAUAGAUGGUCAUUUUUAACAGAAUCCGGCUUACAGACUUACUCGCCCU